rnacentral:rRNA from 1 species
UACAGAGGUCUCAAGCGUUGUUCGGAUUCAUUGGGCGUAAAGGGUGCGUAGGUGGCGGGGUAAGUCAGGUGUGAAAUCUCGGGGCUCAACCCCGAAACUGCACUUGAUACUGCCUUGCUUGAGUACUGGAGAGGAGAUUGGAAUUUACGGUGUAGCAGUGAAAUGCGUAGAUAUCGUAAGGAAGACCAGUGGCGAAGGCGAAUCUCUGGACAGUUACUGACACUGAGGCACGAAGGCCAGGGGGAGCAAACGGG